rnacentral:tRNA from 1 species
GGUGGCUCAGUGGUAGAGUGCUUGCCUUGUGUGCAUGAGGCCCUUGGGUUCGAUUCCUCAGCACCA